rnacentral:rRNA from 1 species
ACGGAGGGUGCGAGCGUUAAUCGGUAUUACUGGGCGUAAAGGGUGCGUAGGUGGUUUGAUAAGUUAUCUGUGAAAUCCCCGGGCUUAACCUGGGCAGGUCAGAUAAUACUGUUAGACUCGAGUAUAGGAGAGGGUAGUGGAAUUUCCGGUGUAGCGGUGAAAUGCGUAGAGAUCGGAAGGAACACCAGUGGCGAAGGCGGCUACCUGGCCUAAUACUGACACUGAGGCACGAAAGCGUGGGGAGCAAACAGGA